GCCAGACUCCUACGGGAGGCAGCAGUGGGGAAUAUUGCACAAUGGGGGGAACCCUGAUGCAGCGACGCCGCGUGGGUGAAGGAGUACUUCGGUACGUAAAGCCCUAUCAGCAGGAAAGAAAAUGACGGUACCUGACUAAGAAGCCCCGGCUAACUACGUGCCAGCAGCCGCGGUAAUACGUAGGGGGCAAGCGUUAUCCGGAUUUACUGGGUGUAAAGGGAGCGUAGACGGCAGUGCAAGUCCGGAGUGAAAGCCCGGGGCUCAACCCUGGGACUGCUCUGGAAACUGCAAAGCUGGAGUGCGGGAGGGGCAGGCGGAAUUCCUAGUGUAGCGGUGAAAUGCGUAGAUAUUAGGAGGAACACCAGUGGCGAAGGCGGCCUGCUGGGCUUUAACUGACGCUGAGGCUCGAAAGCGUGGGGAGCAAACAGGAUUAGAUACCCGAGUAA
rnacentral:rRNA from 1 species